rnacentral:rRNA from 1 species
AUUGGUGGAUGACAAGGCCUUGGCCGUGGUUUGCAUCGCGUCGUGUGUGCACAUUGCCAGAUGGAGCUCGUAGGACCCUUGUUGAGACUAACAAGGUUUCCGUAGGUGAACCUGCGGAAGGAUCAUUG